GCCAGGCGCAGAGGUGCAUGCCUGUAAUCCCAGCCACUCAGGAGGCUAAGGCAGGAGGAUCAUGAGUUCAAAGCCAGCCUCAGCAAAAAAAAAAAAAAAAAAAAAAGACAAGGGACUAAGCAACUCAGUGAGACCCUGUCUCUA
rnacentral:sRNA from 1 species